rnacentral:rRNA from 1 species
UACAGAGGGUGCGAGCGUUGUCCGGAAUUACUGGGCGUAAAGGGCGCGUAGGCGGCCUGAUAAGUCGGGGGUGAAAUUCAGCGGCUCAACCGCUGGACUGCCUUCGAGACUGUCGGGCUCGAGCACGGUAGAGGCUGGUGGAAUUCCCGGUGUAGCGGUGGAAUGCGUAGAGAUCGGGAAGAACAUCGGUGGCGAAGGCGGCCAGCUGGGCCGUUGCUGACGCUGAGGCGCGACAGCGUGGGGAGCAAACAGG